rnacentral:rRNA from 1 species
GGGUUGUGAGGUUAAGCGACUAAGCGUACACGGUGGAUGCCCUGGCAGUCAGAGGCGAUGAAGGACGUGCUAAUCUGCGAAAAGCGUCGGUAAGGUGAUAUGAACCGUUAUAGCCGGCGAUGUCCGAAUGGGGAAACCCAGUGCAAUUCGUUGCACUAUCGUUAACUGAAUACAUAGGUUAACGAGGCGAACCGGGGGAACUGAAACAUCUAAGUACCCCGAGGAAAAGAAAUCAACCGAGAUUCCCCCAGUAGCGGCGAGCGAACGGGGAGCAGCCCGGAGUCUGAAUCAGCUUGUGUGUUAGUGGAAGCGUCUGGAAAGUCGCAGGGUACAGGGUGAUACUCCCGUACACUAAAACGCACAGGCUGUGAACUCGAAGAGUAGGGCGGGACACGUGGUAUCCUGUCUGAAUAUGGGGGGACCAUCCUCCAAGGCUAAAUACUCCUGACUGACCGAUAGUGAACCAGUACCGUGAGGGAAAGGCGAAAAGAACCCCGGCGAGGGGAGUGAAAAAGAACCUGAAACCGUGUACGUACAAGCAGUAGGAGCCUCUUUAUGGGGUGACUGCGUACCUUUUGUAUAAUGGGUCAGCGACUUAUAUUCUGUAGCAAGGUUAACCGUAUAGGGGAGCCGCAGGGAAACCGAGUCUUAACUGGGCGUUAAGUUGCAGGGUAUAGACCCGAAACCCGGUGAUCUAGCCAUGGGCAGGUUGAAGGUUGGGUAACACUAACUGGAGGACCGAACCGACUAAUGUUGAAAAAUUAGCGGAUGACUUGUGGCUGGGGGUGAAAGGCCAAUCAAACCGGGAGAUAGCUGGUUCUCCCCGAAAGCUAUUUAGGUAGCGCCUCGUGAAUUCAUCUUCGGGGGUAGAGCACUGUUUCGGCUAGGGGGUCAUCCCGACUUACCAACCCGAUGCAAACUACGAAUACCGAAGAAUGUUAUCACGGGAGACACACGGCGGGUGCUAACGUCCGUCGUGAAGAGGGAAACAACCCAGACCGCCAGCUAAGGUCCCAAAGUCAUGGUUAAGUGGGAAACGAUGUGGGAAGGCCCAGACAGCCAGGAUGUUGGCUUAGAAGCAGCCAUCAUUUAAAGAAAGCGUAAUAGCUCACUGGUCGAGUCGGCCUGCGCGGAAGAUGUAACGGGGCUAAACCAUGCACCGAAGCUGCGGCAGCGACACUAUGUGUUGUUGGGUAGGGGAGCGUUCUGUAAGCCGUUGAAGGUGGCCUGUGAGGGUUGCUGGAGGUAUCAGAAGUGCGAAUGCUGACAUAAGUAACGAUAAUGCGGGUGAAAAACCCGCACGCCGGAAGACCAAGGGUUCCUGUCCAACGUUAAUCGGGGCAGGGUGAGUCGACCCCUAAGGCGAGGCCGAAAGGCGUAGUCGAUGGGAAACAGGUUAAUAUUCCUGUACUCGGUGUUACUGCGAAGGGGGGACGGAGAAGGCUAUGUUGGCCGGGCGACGGUUGUCCCGGUUUAAGCAUGUAGGCGGAUGUUCCAGGUAAAUCCGGAACGUUACUAACGCUGAGGUGUGAUGACGAGGCACUACGGUGCUGAAGUGACAAAUGCCCUGCUUCCAGGAAAAGCCUCUAAGCAUCAGGUAACAUCAAAUCGUACCCCAAACCGACACAGGUGGUCAGGUAGAGAAUACCAAGGCGCUUGAGAGAACUCGGGUGAAGGAACUAGGCAAAAUGGUGCCGUAACUUCGGGAGAAGGCACGCUGAUAUGUAGGUGAAGUGGUUUACCCAUGGAGCUGAAAUCAGUCGAAGAUACCAGCUGGCUGCAACUGUUUAUUAAAAACACAGCACUGUGCAAACACGAAAGUGGACGUAUACGGUGUGACGCCUGCCCGGUGCCGGAAGGUUAAUUGAUGGGGUUAUCCGUAAGGAGAAGCUCUUGAUCGAAGCCCCGGUAAACGGCGGCCGUAACUAUAACGGUCCUAAGGUAGCGAAAUUCCUUGUCGGGUAAGUUCCGACCUGCACGAAUGGCGUAAUGAUGGCCAGGCUGUCUCCACCCGAGACUCAGUGAAAUUGAACUCGCUGUGAAGAUGCAGUGUACCCGCGGCAAGACGGAAAGACCCCGUGAACCUUUACUAUAGCUUGACACUGAACACUGGUCCUUGAUGUGUAGGAUAGGUGGGAGGCUUUGAAGUGUGGACGCCAGUCUGCAUGGAGCCAUCCUUGAAAUACCACCCUUUAAUGGCUGGUGUUCUAACGUGGGCCCCUAAUCGGGGUUGCGGACAGUGUCUGGUGGGUAGUUUGACUGGGGCGGUCUCCUCCUAAAGAGUAACGGAGGAGCACGAAGGUCAGCUAAUCCUGGUCGGACAUCAGGAGGUUAGUGCAAUGGCAUAAGCUGGCUUGACUGCGAGCGUGACGGCGCGAGCAGGUGCGAAAGCAGGUCAUAGUGAUCCGGUGGUUCUGAAUGGAAGGGCCAUCGCUCAACGGAUAAAAGGUACUCCGGGGAUAACAGGCUGAUACCGCCCAAGAGUUCAUAUCGACGGCGGUGUUUGGCACCUCGAUGUCGGCUCAUCACAUCCUGGGGCUGAAGUAGGUCCCAAGGGUAUGGCUGUUCGCCAUUUAAAGUGGUACGCGAGCUGGGUUUAGAACGUCGUGAGACAGUUCGGUCCCUAUCUGCCGUGGGCGCUGGAGAAUUGAGGGGGGCUGCUCCUAGUACGAGAGGACCGGAGUGGACGCAUCACUGGUGUUCGGGUUGUCAUGCCAAUGGCAUUGCCCGGUAGCUAAAUGCGGAAGAGAUAAGUGCUGAAAGCAUCUAAGCACGAAACUUGCCCCGAGAUGAGUUCUCCCUGACUCCUUGAGAGUCCUGAAGGAACGUUGAAGACGACGACGUUGAUAGGCCGGGUGUGUAAGCGCAGCGAUGCGUUGAGCUAACCGGUACUAAUGAACCGUGAGGCUUAACCUUACAACGCCGAAG